UACGAAGGGGGCUAGUGUUGCUCGGAAUCACUGGGCGUAAAGGGCGCGUAGGCGGCCAUUCAAGUCAGACGUGAAAUCCCUCGGCUUAACCGGGGAACUGCAUCUGAUACUGGAUGGCUUGAGUUCGGGAGAGGGAUGCGGAAUUCCAGGUGUAGCGGUGAAAUGCGUAGAUAUCUGGAGGAACACCGGUGGCGAAGGCGGCAUCCUGGACCGACACUGACGCUGAGGAGCGAAAGCCAGGGAGCAAACGGG
rnacentral:rRNA from 1 species